rnacentral:lncRNA from 11 species
UUUUCAUGUCAGGAGCCACUUGAGAAACUGUAAGUUGCUUCUGGUGUGAGCCAUUUGCAAGCACAUUGCCCAGGGGACACCUGGAUAUUUUGAUGUUUUUCCCAUCCAUGUGGAAGGCUUCUCUCAUGUCCCUGAAUGGAGCUGGAGCUGACAGAGGGAACUCAUCUGCACUCUUCCCCGGGUUGGAUUCGAACCGGCAACCUUCAGGUUUCCCCAUUACCUUUUCAAUCUUCUUACUCAGAAUAUACUUUUAAAGAAGAAAAGACAAUAUGGCUACAAAAUGCUUUUGAUUGGUGGCUCUUCAUCUGGAAUGAGUCAGAGCUCAAUAAAUACAAAGGAAGUGUUCCUUCUAAAUCAAUUGUGAGAAUGUACCCCUCUGCUGUUGCUGGUCAUCGACUGUAAUAAAUAAAUAUAUACAUGGUACCUCUCUGCAGAAAGUUUGUUAUUUAUUAUAUCUGGUGAAAUUGGCAUUUUCGAAUAUUGUUUAAAGGUGAGGAUUAUAAUAUUCAUUUUUAAAAUACCCCUUUAAAUAGAGACGAGGUGAGAGCACUAGGGCUUUGGAGCUUGGGAUCUUGUGACAGAUCUAAG